AUUUUCAGCCUAUUUUCUUCUCCAAAGAAGAGAUAUUCAUCCUUGUUGGCGAAUAAUCCUUUCCUCAUUCCUGCAAAUUUGAUGCACGAGAAAAUAUGUCAGAAUUCAAGGGGAUCUGGACUUGUGCUAUAUUCAUCAUCUAAAUUAGAUAUUUCUACAUUUUG